rnacentral:rRNA from 1 species
AUUGAACGCUGGCGGCAGGCUUAACACAUGCAAGUCGAACGAGCGGCGGACGGGUGAGUAAUGUCUGGGAAACAGCCUGAAGGAGGGGGAUAACUACUGGAAACGAUCACUAAUACCGCAUACCAUCAGAUGUGCCCAGAUGGGAUUAGCUAGUAGGUGGGGUAAGGUAGAACGUAGGCGACGAUCCCUAGCUGGUCUGAGAGGAUGACCAGCCACACUGGAACUGAGACACGGUCCAGACGCCUACGGGAGGCAGCAGUGGGGAAUAUUGCACAAUGGGCUCAAGCCUGAUGCAGCCAUGCCGCGUGUAUGAAGAAGGCCCUAGGGUUGUAAAGUACUUUCAGGCGGGAGGCGUUACCGACAGAAGAAGCACCGGCUAACUCCGUGCCAGCAGCCGCGGUAAUAC